ensembl:snRNA U6 U6 spliceosomal RNA
GUGCUUUCUUCGGCAGCACAUAUAUUAAAAUUGGAACGAUACAGAGAAGAUUAGCAUGGCUGCUGUGCAAGAAUAAUAUGCAAAUUUAUGAAAUAUUCCAUACAAAA